rnacentral:rRNA from 1 species
GCUCAGGAUGAACGCUAGCGGCAGGCUUAACACAUGCAAGUCGAGGGGCAGCGCGGGUGGCAACACCUGGCGGCGACCGGCGAAAGGGUGAGUAACACGUAUGCAACCUGCCCCCUACAGGGGGAUAAUCCAGAGAAAUUUGGUCUAAUACCCCGUAGUCAGCGAGAGGGCAUCCUCUUGCUGGGAAAGCUCCGGCGGUAGGGGAUGGGCAUGCGGCGCAUUAGCUAGUUGGCGGGGCAACGGCCCACCAAGGCUACGAUGCGUAGGGGUUCUGAGAGGAAGGUCCCCCACACUGGUACUGAGACACGGACCAGACUCCUACGGGAGGCAGCAGUGAGGAAUAUUGGACAAUGGCCGGAAGGCUGAUCCAGCCAUGCCGCGUGCGGGAAGGCGGCCCUAUGGGUUGUAAACCGCUUUUGCGGGGGAGCAAUAAGGUGCACGCGUGCACCGAUGAGAGUACCCUGCGAAUAAGCAUCGGCUAACUCCGUGCCAGCAGCCGCGGUAUAACGGAGGAUGCAAGCGUUAUCCGGAUUUAUUGGGUUUAAAGGGUGCGUANGCGGUUUGCUAAGCGGGAGGUGAAAUGCCGGCGCUCAGCGUCGGAAGUGCCUCCCGACCUGGUGGACUGGAA